rnacentral:rRNA from 1 species
CCUACGGGAGGCAGCAGUGGGGAAUUUUGGACAAUGGGCGAAAGCCUGAUCCAGCAAUGCCGCGUGUGUGAUGAAGGCCUUCGGGUUGUAAAGCACUUUUGGCGGGAACGAAAGGGACUGUGCCAAUACCACGGUUCGAUGACGGUACCCGCAGAAUAAGCACCGGCUAACUACGUGCCAGCAGCCGCGGUAAUACGUAGGGUGCAAGCGUUAAUCGGAAUUACUGGGCGUAAAGAGUGCGCAGGCGGUUUUGCAAGACCGAUGUGAAAUCCCCGGGCUUAACCUGGGAACUGCAUUGGUGACUGCAAGGCUAGAGUGUGUCAGAGGGAGGUGGAAUUCCGCAUGUAGCAGUGAAAUGCGUAGAUAUGCGGAGGAACACCGAUGGCGAAGGCAGCCUCCUGGGAUAACACUGACGCUCAUGCACGAAAGCGUGGGGAGCAAACAGGAUUAGAUACCCUGGUAGUCCACGCCCUAAACGAUGUCUACUAGUUGUCGGGGAUUAAUUUCCUUGGUAACGCAGCUAACGCGUGAAGUAGACCGCCUGGGGAGUACGGUCGCAAGAUUAAAACUCAAAGGAAUUGACGG